rnacentral:rRNA from 1 species
UACGUAGGGGGCUAGCGUUGUCCGGAAUCAUUGGGCGUAAAGCGCGCGUAGGCGGUCAGGAAAGUCCGGUGUGAAAGUCAUAGGCUCAACCUAUGGAUGCCGCUGGAAACUGCCUGACUUGAGUCCGGAAGGGGCGAGUGGAAUUCCUGGUGUAGCGGUGAAAUGCGCAGAUAUCAGGAGGAACACCAAUAGCGAAGGCAGCUCGCUGGGACGUUACUGACACUGAGGCGCGAAAGCGUGGGGAGCGAACAGG